CUAAGUGGCGGACGGGUGAGUAAUGUAUAGUUAAUCUGCCCUUUAGAGGGGGAUAACAGUUGGAAACGACUGCUAAUACCCCAUACUCCUUUUACAUUAAUUGUAAUUGGGAAACGUUUUUUCGCUAAAGGAUGAGACUAUAUGGUAUCAGGUAGUUGGUGGGGUAAGAGCCCACCAAGCCAAUGACGCCUAGCUGGUCUGGGAGGAUGAUCAGCCACACUGGAACUGAGACACGGUCCAG
rnacentral:rRNA from 1 species